rnacentral:rRNA from 1 species
UACGUAGGGCGCAAGCGUUGUCCGGAAUUAUUGGGCGUAAAGAGCUCGUAGGUGGUUCGGUAAGUCGGGUGUGAAACCUCCAGGCUCAACCUGGAGACGCCACCCGAUACUGCCGUGACUAGAGUCCAGUAGGGGAGCGUGGAAUUCCUGGUGUAGCGGUGAAAUGCGCAGAUAUCAGGAGGAACACCAGCGGCGAAGGCGGCGCUCUGGGCUGGCACUGACACUGAGGAGCGAAAGCGUGGGGAGCGAACAGG